AAAUCUUCCAGCUGCUUCUGGAGCUGUUUGGAGACCAACGUCUGAAAGCCAACUCUUCAAUCAUUUCUCAGAGGGAAGAGCCCUGGGGACAAGGCCAGGGCUAAGAGGGACGAGAGAGCCAGGAAAGUCCAGGCCAAGGGUGCCUCUUGAACCUUGUGGCUGAGGGGAGCAGGCUGUUGGGAUGAUCAGCAGACAUGGAAAGUCCUUCCAGCUCUACCCCUGUGUAUUUCCCAGCGAAUGCUCUCGGAUUUUAGGACUUACCUCCUAAAAUUUUCACUUGGUCUAAAGCAAAAGGCCCCAGGCUUUCUGUCAGGAGCUGCAACUUUUCAUCUGAUGAGGAGAUGAAGAGAUGGCACAUCAGAGAAAAGUGACAAAGGUGGCAAAGGUGUGGAGUGGUGCGACUGGCAUUUCCAUUCCAGAGUGCAUCACUUCAAACCUUACAUUCCUGAGGCUGUUCGUCGAAGGCUUCUCACAUCUAAACUGCAGUUCAUUUAUUGCAGAGCCCUGUUCACAUGGGUUCUCAGAGACAUUUUCAUUCUCGCUUCUCACCACGCUGGAGAUGAGAACUAGAUGUGGUUUUCUAGAUACAGUCUACAUUUCCCUUUGAAUCUGGAAGUCCGGCUUCAAGGAAAUCAGAGAAAGAGAGAAA
rnacentral:lncRNA from 10 species